rnacentral:lncRNA from 1 species
GUAAAUCUCAAAAUCAGCUAAUUGAAAGGAUUCUUCAGAAAUUACUUUUUAAUAAAAGCAUCUAAUCAUGAAAACUAUUUGAAGAUGUAUCAUGCUGUAAUUCCUAAGGCAACACAACUUGAAUCGGCCAAGGGAUGAACAACCAGCACAAUGCUGGGAGUUUAUGUCCAGAUGUUUUCACCUAUUCUGCGCUGAAAUCUAUUAAGUCUUGGAGCAGUGGUGAGCACCACUGCGGUUAUAUUUGGAUAUUAAGAAACUUGGCUUUGAGCACCAAAUUUUACUCUAUUGAAAUGAGCUGCUAUAGGGAUUGUAAAACGUGACCUGGCCCGAACUGACAGUGGCAGAAGGCUCCGUGGUUUUGCCCCAUGGAAAGGCUCCUUUGGGUGAAGGGUGGCCCCCUGUGACAGCUUCGUCGCUGUAAGGAACCGCGGAAAACAGCGGGGUCACGCCGCGGAGCCGAGGGCUGGCGGCCACGGGGAGCGGGGAGGGCGCGGAGCCCCGGGGCCGCCGGUGCCGCGUCCUUCCCGCGUUACUCAGCCCGUGUGAUGACCCCGCUCCGCAGCGCGUCCCCGUCACUCGGCGGGGCUUACGAGGCACAGAGAUCCACGCCCGGCAGAGCUCCCCGGGCGCGGGGGAAACGCCCGAAGCGCAUUCCCCUCCACCUCCCGGAAACGGCGCCGUUUCCCCUUGGCGCGACCUCACUUCCUCCCGCGCUUCCGUCUCCGGGACGCGCCGGCUCCCGCUGCUGCCGCUGCCGCCGCCGCCGCUGCUCGGAGGCCGGAGGCGCCCGCCGGGCGGUGUCAUGAUGAGGAGCUUCUCAGAAACAGAAGUGGAUGAUGAGUGGAGAUGAAGAAAUCAUACAUUUAAGAAGUUGGCUCAAGUUUCCGUUACAGGCAUGGAAAGUUUCUGAGACCAAGCCAUGCGAGAAGAACAUGAGUAAAGAAGAGGGAGAUGUAGACCCAGACUUUCUAGAAGGGAUUGCAGGAUUUGAGAGGACGCUGCACAAAAGUCACGUAGUUUUCUUGCUUAUUCAUUUACCUGCACCCCUGAACUGUAAUACUUUGUUUGCAUGUCUGUUUGGAAGUUGAAAAAUCCCCUCACAUCUGUGUCUUUAAUAUAAUCGUGGCUUCAAGCUUGUUUUAGGAAGAGCAAAACAUCACUGUAGUUUUUAUUUGUGGAUGAGAUAGCUGCUGCUUUGUACUUGAAAUCAAUUUGGGGCUUUUUUUAUUUUUGAAAUACACAUUGAAUAUGGAAAAGCUCAGACCAUUACAAAAUAGGAAGUUAGGGGUUUUGCUUAUAUUUAAUAAACACCCUUUGCAUAGAAAGUCGGAUGACA